UACAGAGGGGGCAAGCGUUGUUCGGAAUUACUGGGCGUAAAGGGCGCGUAGGCGGCCUUCUAAGUCGAACGUGAAAUCCCUGGGCUCAACCCAGGAACUGCGUCCGAUACUGGUUGGCUUGAAUCCGGGAGAGGGAUGUGGAAUUCCAGGUGUAGCGGUGAAAUGCGUAGAUAUCAGGAAGAACACCCGUGGCGAAGGCGGCUCUCUGGGACGGUACUGACGCUGAGACGCGAAAGCGUGGGGAGCGAACAGG
rnacentral:rRNA from 1 species